GAUGAACGAUAGCGACAGGCCUAACACAUGCAAGUCGAGGGGCAGCAUGAAAUUAGCUUGCUAAUUUUGAUGGCGACCGGCGCACGGGUGAGUAACACGUAUGCAACCUGCCUGUAAGCGGGGGAUAACCCGGAGAAAUUCGGACUAAUACCGCAUAAUAUCAUUAAUUCGCAUGUUUUAAUGAUUAAAAAUUUAUUGCUUACAAAUGGGCAUGCGUAUGAUUAGCUAGUUGGCGGGGUAACGGCCCACCAAGGCGACGAUCAUUAGGGGUUCUGAGAGGUAGGUCCCCCACAUUGGAACUGAGACACGGUCCAAACUCCUACGGGAGGCAGCAGUGAGGAAUAUUGGUCAAUGGACGCAAGUCUGAACCAGCCAUGUCGCGUGAAGGAUGACUGUCCUAUGGAUUGUAAACUUCUUUUAUAUGGGGAUAAAGUGUGAGACUUGUCUCAUUUUGCAUGUACCAUAUGAAUAAGCAUCGGCUAACUCCGUGCCAGCCGCCGCGGUAAUAC
rnacentral:rRNA from 1 species